CCUUCGGGAACUGUGAGACAGGUGCUGCAUGGCUGUCGUCAGCUAUGGUGUUGUGAAAUGUUGGGUUAAGUCCCGCAACGAGCGCAACCCUUAUCCUUUGUUGCCAGCGGUCCGGCCGGGAACUCAAAGGAGACUGCCAGUGAUAAACUGGAGGAAGGUGGGGAUGACGUCAAGUCAUCAUGGCCCUUACGACCAGGGCUACACACGUGCUACAAUGGCGCAUACAAAGAGAAGCGACCUCGCGAGAGCAAGCGGACCUCAUAAAGUGCGUCGUAGUCCGGAUUGGAGUCUGCAACUCGACUCCAUGAAGUCGGAAUCGCUAGUAAUCGUGGAUCAGAAUGCCACGGUGAAUACGUUCCCGGGCCUUG
rnacentral:rRNA from 1 species